UACGUAUGGUGCAAGCGUUAUCCGGAUUUACUGGGUGUAAAGGGAGUGUAGGUGGCAGCACAAGUCAGAAGUGAAAGCCCGGGGCUCAACCCCGGGACUGCUUUUGAAACUGUGUAGCUAGAGUGCAGGAGAGGUAAGUGGAAUUCCUAGUGUAGCGGUGAAAUGCGUAGAUAUUAGGAGGAACACCGGUGGCGAAGGCGGCUUACUGGACUGUAACUGACACUGAGGCUCGAAAGCGUGGGGAG
rnacentral:rRNA from 1 species